GUACACUGGAAGCUGAUGCUCACGAACAUUCACAGUUCCAGCAGACGAAGUGUAAAUCAGUUUCUUGACUGUCUUUGCUUUAGCACAGGCCUUAAUGAUGUCGAGGACUCCCUGUACGGUAGGCUUGAUAACUUCGUUCUGUAAUGUAAAACUUAGAAGCCAGUGUUAUUAUGUGUUUACAUGUUAGUGAGUCUGAUAUAUAGGCAGAAGAAUGCGAACUUGCCUCGGGGUCCUGGGACUCGAUGUCCAUGGGGGUGGCCAUAUGAAACACUGCAUGGCAGCCUUUUACGGCUUCAUCAAAGCUUCCUUCUUCAUUCAGAUCUGCCC
rnacentral:lncRNA from 1 species